rnacentral:rRNA from 1 species
GACGAACGCUGGCGGCGUGCUUAACACAUGCAAGUCGAGCGGUAAGGCCCUUUCGGGGGUACACGAGCGGCGAACGGGUGAGUAACACGUGGGUGACCUGCCCUUAGCUCUGGGAUAAGCCUGGGAAACGUGGGUCUAAUACCGGAUAUGACUCCAUGACGCAUGUUGUGGGGUGGAAAGCCUUGUGCGGCUAGGGAUGGGCCCGCGGCCUAUCAGCUUGUUGGUGGGGUGAUGGCCUACCAAGGCGACGACGGGUAGCCGGCCUGAGAGGGCGACCGGCCACACUGGGACUGAGACACGGCCCAGACUCCUACGGGAGGCAGCAGUGGGGAAUCUUGCGCAAUGGGCGAAAGCCUGACGCAGCGACGCCGCGUGAGGGAUGA